AACCAUCCUAAUCAGAUGGAAGUGCCAAGAGAAAAUGUUGCUCUUUGGAAGGAAAGAAAGAAACCAUGUUAAGGAGGGGUGUUAUGCAAUGAAUUUUUAGAUAUUAAAAAAAAUAACAUCUAGACCAUUAAGUUUCUUUGGUUUUGUAGAUAAGUUUGUCAGAUAAGAGUUAGAAUACUCCAACAAUCACUGGACAUUUCUAUAGUAACCUGAGGUAGAAUUUCAAACUUCCAGAGAGAAAGGAAGAGUAACAGCAGCCCAUUUAGACUCAGUGUCCAUCUCUCCUACCUGUGCUUGCCUUCCAGUACCUUUCAUACCUUCUAAAAUGGCCUCUCACUCAUCAGGAGAGUUUGAGGGGUCACGGUUUUUUAGAUCAAACUCUGAAGAUAAAGAAGGAUGGGAACUUAUACUUUUAGGAAUGCUGUCAUUAGAAAAAAAACUUCACAAAUGCCAGGACUUAACUUGAUCAAAUUAAUAAGCUGUUCCUGGGAGAACCUACUGCAUCAGCCAGGGUAAGGUAGGAGAGGUCUUAACUUCUGGCCUCUGGUCUCUUUACUUUAAAAAUUAUUGAGGACUCCCAAAGAGCAUUUGUUGAAGUGGAUUAUAUCCACUAAUUUUUUGUUCAUAUUAGAAAUUAAAAUAAGAAAAAUUUAAAAUAGCCAUAAUUUU
rnacentral:lncRNA from 1 species